GGGUUGGUAGCUCAGUUGGAUAGAGCACCAGGCUACGAACCUGGGGGUCAGGGGUUCGAAUCCUCUCCAGCCCA
rnacentral:tRNA from 1 species